UCCCAAGGGUUCGGCUGUUCGCCGAUUAAAGCGGUACGUGAGCUGGGUUUAGAACGUCGUGAGACAGUUCGGUCCCUAUCUCAUGUGGGCGCAGGAUACUUGAAGGGAUCUGUCCCUAGUACGAGAGGACCGGGACGGACGAACCUCUGGUGCACCAGUUGUCACGCCAGUGGCACAGCUGGGUAGCUACGUUCGGAAAGGAUAACCGCUGAAGGCAUCUAAGCGGGAAGCCCCCCCUAAGAUAAGGUAUCCCUGAAGACUCCUGGAAGACGACCAGGUUGAUAGGCGGGAAGUGUAAGCGCUGCGAGGCGUUGAGCUCACCCGUACUAAUCAGUCGUUCGGCUUGACCAUUUAA
rnacentral:rRNA from 1 species